UUGCUUCUGGUAAUGAAGCUACUGCUACUAUUAUAGCUAUGGCGGUGAGUUUCCAAGGCUUCUGAGUCAACUCUUGACUCUAAUAAACGAAUCGAACGAGUUCAAUGCAGUUCGGCUCUCGUCAAGCACCUCAAGGCCCCUGUUCAUCUCGGUCGAGCUCCAGGGCAAACCAACCAACCGAUCACUGUGAGCCAAGGGACGUCCAGAACCAGCCUCGGUGAAAUUGUGAGGAACAGUCAGAGUUUUGUGGAGUCAGCCCAAACAUCUCACGUACGAGACUGUCUUCGCCUUUGUCCUUUGUUCAUAGUUUUGUUAUGUUGGCGAAAGCAUUGGACUACUUUUGUACAUAAGUCUUGGGUUCGACUGACUUAAACUUGUAUGAUCCUAUAUGUAUAGU